AAAUUGAAGAGUUUGAUCAUGGCUCAGAUUGAACGCUGGCGGCAGGCCUAACACAUGCAAGUCGAGCGGUAGCACAGAGAGCUUGCUCUCGGGUGACGAGCGGCGGACGGGUGAGUAAUGUCUGGGAAACUGCCUGAUGGAGGGGGAUAACUACUGGAAACGGUAGCUAAUACCGCAUAAUGUCGCAAGACCAAAGUGGGGGACCUUCGGGCCUCAUGCCAUCAGAUGUGCCCAGAUGGGAUUAGCUUGUAGGUGGGGUAACGGCUCACCUAGGCGACGAUCCCUAGCUGGUCUGAGAGGAUGACCAGCCACACUGGAACUGAGACACGGUCCAGACUCCUACGGGAGGCAGCAGUGGGGAAUAUUGCACAAUGGGCGCAAGCCUGAUGCAGCCAUGCCGCGUGUGUGAAGAAGGCCUUCGGGUUGUAAAGCACUUUCAGCGGGGAGGAAGGCGGUGAGGUUAAUAACCUCAUCGAUUGACGUUACCCGCAGAAGAAGCACCGGCUAACUCCGUGCCAGCAGCCGCGGUAAUACGGAGGUGCAAGCGUUAAUCGGAAUUACUGGGCGUAAAGCGCACGCAGGCGGUCUGUCAAGUCGGAUGUGAAAUCCCCGGGCUCAACCUGGGAACUGCAUUCGAAACUGGCAGGCUAGAGUCUUGUAGAGGGGGGUAGAAUUCCAGGUGUAGCGGUGAAAUGCGUAGAGAUCUGGAGGAAUACCGGUGGCGAAGGCGGCCCCCUGGACAAAGACUGACGCUCAGGUGCGAAAGCGUGGGGAGCAAACAGGAUUAGAUACCCUGGUAGUCCACGCCGUAAACGAUGUCGAUUUGGAGGUUGUGCCCUUGAGGCGUGGCUUCCGGAGCUAACGCGUUAAAUCGACCGCCUGGGGAGUACGGCCGCAAGGUUAAAACUCAAAUGAAUUGACGGGGGCCCGCACAAGCGGUGGAGCAUGUGGUUUAAUUCGAUGCAACGCGAAGAACCUUACCUGGUCUUGACAUCCACAGAACUUAGCAGAGAUGCUUUGGUGCCUUCGGGAACUGUGAGACAGGUGCUGCAUGGCUGUCGUCAGCUCGUGUUGUGAAAUGUUGGGUUAAGUCCCGCAACGAGCGCAACCCUUAUCCUUUGUUGCCAGCGGUCCGGCCGGGAACUCAAAGGAGACUGCCAGUGAUAAACUGGAGGAAGGUGGGGAUGACGUCAAGUCAUCAUGGCCCUUACGACCAGGGCUACACACGUGCUACAAUGGCAUAUACAAAGAGAAGCGACCUCGCGAGAGCAAGCGGACCUCAUAAAGUAUGUCGUAGUCCGGAUUGGAGUCUGCAACUCGACUCCAUGAAGUCGGAAUCGCUAGUAAUCGUAGAUCAGAAUGCUACGGUGAAUACGUUCCCGGGCCUUGUACACACCGCCCGUCACACCAUGGGAGUGGGUUGCAAAAGAAGUAGGUAGCUUAACCUUCGGGAGGGCGCUUACCACUUUGUGAUUCAUGACUGGGGUGAAGUCGUAACAAGGUAACCGUAGGGGAACCUGCGGUUGGAUCACCUCCUUACCUUAAAGAA
rnacentral:rRNA from 1 species